rnacentral:rRNA from 1 species
CCAAUAGCGUAUAUUAAAGUUGUUGCAGUUAAAAAGCUCGUAGUUGAACCUUAGGCCCGUGCGGGUGGUCCGUCCUCUGGGCGAGCACUGCCUCGUCGCGGGUCUCACCUUCUGGCGAGCGUGGAUGCCAUUCACUUGGUGUCUGCGGGAACCAGGACCUUUACCUUGAAAAAAUUAGAGUGCUCAAAGCGGGCUCGUACGCUUGAAUACAUUAGCAUGGAAUAAUGAAAUAGGGCGACGGUUCUAUUUUGUUGGUUUCCGGGACAGUCGUAAUGAUUAAUAGGGGUAGUUGGGGGGAUUCGUAUUUAAUUGUCAGGGGGGAAAUUCUUGGAUUUAUUGAAGACGGACUACUGCGAAAGCAUUUGCCCAGGAUGUUUUCAUUAAUCAAGAACGAAAGUUGGGGGAUCGAAGACGAUCAGAUACCGUCGUAGUCUCAACCAUAAACUAUGCCGACUGGGAAUCGGGCGAUGUUAUUUUUCGUGACUCGCUCGGCGCCCCGAG